UUUGGGAUUCAUUUAAAGUUCAAGUUCUGGACUCUCUUAUCGGUACAUACUCAAUUACCAUUCACUGUAACUCUCUCUAAUUCUUUUGAAUGAAUGUUCGCUUGAGUAUACGCUCCUUGUGCUUAUAAUACUGAUGAAGUGGAGUUAUUCUGGAGGGAGGUUGAAGAAGUAAGAUGUUUUCGGAAUUAUCCAUGGUAAUUUGUGGUCAUUACAAUGAAAUGAAGUAUUCAAUGAGAGAUCUUAUAGGAGAGAUGUUACUACUGGAUCGAGGAAAUUCAAUAUUUUCAUAUUUAGACAUCAGUUGGUUGAUCCACCUCUUAUUGGUGCUACUUACAUCUGGACUAACAAUCAAUUCCAAUCUAUUAGAAGUAGAAUUGAUCGACUUCUAAUGCCCGCUUCUUGGGAAUCCAUGCAUGAAUCCACAAGUCAUUCAACAAGCUCUUGCUAGGCCUUUUUCUUAUCACAAUCUAAUAACUUUGUUUUGUGAAGGUGUGAAGCUGGUCGUUCUCCAUUUCGAUUGCAGGCUAUGUCUUUUGUAAGAAACUACAAUUACUACACUAAAGUUAAGGAGUGGAGUAAAGAAGUAUUUAGCGAUUUUGAAAAAAGAUUUGACGAGCUGGAGAAUACUUUUAUGGAUCUAUAUGCUGGGGAAAGUGCAAAUAAUGGCGUAAAUGAAGAGAAACCUGGGGAGAGAAUUAAAGCAAGGCAAGAUUACUUCAAGCAUACAAUUAUUAGAGCAGAGAAAUGCUGAAGUAGAUCAAGGAUGACUCAUAUGAAAUAUU